rnacentral:rRNA from 1 species
AACGAACGCUGGCGGCAUGCCUAACACAUGCAAGUCGAACGAGACCUUCGGGUCUAGUGGCGCACGGGUGCGUAACGCGUGGGAACCUGCCCUUAGGUUCGGAAUCACUCCCCGAAAGGGGUGCUAAUACCGGAUAAUGUCUUCGGACCAAAGAUUUAUCGCCUUUGGAUGGGCCCGCGUUGGAUUAGCUAGUUGGUAGGGUAAAAGCCUACCAAGGCGACGAUCCAUAGCUGGUCUGAGAGGAUGACCAGCCACACUGGGACUGAGACACGGCCCAGACUCCUACGGGAGGCAGCAGUGGGGAAUAUUGGACGAUGGGCGAAAGCCUGAUCCAGCAAUGCCGCGUGAGUGAUGAAGGCGUUAGGGUUGUAAAGCUCUUUUACCCGGGAUGAUAAUGACAGUACCGGGAGAAUAAGCUCCGGCUAACUCCGUG